CUCUCUCAGUCUCACACUCUCACUUCCUCUCCUCGUUCUUUCCAAAGCAAAACCCUCUCUCUUUUAUUCUCUCACCACUAUUACCAUUGGCUUUUGUUUCCCACUUAUUUCUCUUCAUUUAGACUAAAUCCAUCUGAUUGUUUGAGAAUCAGGAAGGUUUCUUUCAACAACAAUGGUGAUUCUAGCAUCUGUUUCUGGAAACCUAAUUCUUGAUAAACCAGAAAGUAUUAUCUGAAUCCUUCUGGUAAAGUUCAAGGGCCGUUCUCAUUGAGUUCGCUCAGAGCGUGGAAGAUCAGUGGAUAUUUUGAACCUGAUUUCAGGGUUUGGAAAACACAAGGCAUACAAAAGAAGCGGCAAUCCCUAGGGAUGCUUCUAAGUUCUAAGGCUGUUGUUGUUGAUGGAGGUAGCUUUGCCUGUCAUUUUCUACUGGAUAGGAACGGAAAAUGAAAAGUUUGCCUUCGAGCUUGUAAGCCUACACCCCAUGAAAUAUGAGCAAAUUGCAGACUUGCUUAAUGGUAUGCAAGAUAUUCAAUUGGGAGACACUAAUGGAAGAGGAAUAUAUUACUGGACUCAAACAGUCAGUAUUCAACUCAAACGCCGUCCAAUAAUCUAUAACGUACUGAAAAGGAGUAGGAGAUUUCAGAAGUCACUACUCAAAUCGUCAUGGUGCCUGUCAAGAAGCAUGAAAUGUCGGGUCGGGGUUCACGUUGCUGAAUGAGAUUUUAUUUUUAUUUUUUUGAUGGAAUGCUGCACUUGGUGUCCCCGAACCGAAUUCUUAGGAUGUUAUUGUCCAUUGUACAUUUUCUAUCUGUGCCUUUUGUGUUGGGAAAUGUGAGUGUGGAUUUGAACAAAAAAAUAAAUGAUGUUGUAUCUUUUGAA